GGGUCCGGACACACUGAGGAUUGACAGGCAAUAUUAAUACGUGUUUCGGCGCGUAUUAUGUUAAAUAUGCUAGUCCUUUCAUGAUUAUGUGAUAGGUGGUGCAUGGCCGUUCUUAGUUCGUGGAGUGAUCUGUCUGCUUAAUUGCGUUUCACUAAGGAUCUAUCAAUACGUGUGUUGCGGCACUUUGACCCCUCUCUGAGCGCGCGUCUUAGUUGCUUAGCUCGCACAAUUAGGUCCUGAAAGCAACGAACGUGACCGCAACCUCUUGUUGCCUUUAUACCAAACAUUUUUGCUGUUCUCAGCAUUAAUGCAAAAAGGCUUUUUAAACUAGAGGGACCGCUGUUACUUUCUUAAACCAGAGGAAGGUUGCGGCAAUAACAGGUCUGUGAUGCCCUUAGAUGUUCCGGGCUGCACACGUGCUACAAUGAUUGUUGCAGUGAGCAUCUCAUUUUUACACACCGCAUGCGCGAGUCCGUUUAUUCGCUUCUGUGUUUUAAACGUGUAUUUCUGCGCGCGGUAAAGCCUGCUUCGAGAGUAAGUGGGU
rnacentral:rRNA from 1 species